rnacentral:rRNA from 1 species
CCAGCCACGGUAACACGAAGGGGGCUAGCGUUGUUCGGAAUUACUGGGCGUAAAGCGCACGUAGGCGGAUAUUUAAGUCAGGGGUGAAAUCCCGCAGCUCAACUGCGGAACUGCCUUUGAUACUGGGUAUCUUGAGUAUGGAAGAGGUUAGUGGAAUUGCGAGUGUAGAGGUGAAAUUCGUAGAUAUUCGCAGGAACACCAGUGGCGAAGGCGGCUAACUGGUCCAUAACUGACGCUGAGGUGCGAAAGCGUGGGGAGCAAACAGGAUUAGAUACCCCGGUAGUCCCUGUCUCUUAUACAA